GUGAUAAGCUGCGAUAAGCUUCGGGGAGUUGCACGUAAACUUUGAUCCGAAGAUUUCCGAAUGAGGAAACUCACUUAGAGUAAUGUCUAAGUAUCAUUAAGUGAAUACAUAGCUUAAUGAGGGGAACUCAGGGAACUGAAACAGCUAAGUACCUGAAGGAAGAGAAAGAAAUUCGAUUCCGUAAGUAGCGGCGAGCGAACGCGGAUUAGCC
rnacentral:rRNA from 1 species